CCGCCGCGGCGGUGGCGUGCGGGCACGCCAUGGAGGUGCCGGAGAUGAUGUUGUACGCCGCGAACCUGUUGUCUUUGUGGUUGCCGGACACCGGCGUCAGCGGCGUCCACGCCGCCAGGAUGUCGAUCCCCGGCGCCGCCAGGAUCCCAGGACUGAUCAAGUUUGGCCCCGUGGAUGAGAACGAGGCGACGGUUGGCGCCUCGGAGUCGAAGGUAGCCUUGGUGCUGUGGAUGCUGCCCACAGGAUUACUGCAGAACAGAACAGCCAUAAGAGGUGUGCAGGCUUAUGUUGUUGGAGCUGAUUAAAAAUUGCAGAGCCACCAAAAUUUGUUCAGCAUUGCAGGAAUUGGUUUCACCAUUUGUACGGGAGGGGAAACACGAACGCGAUGUCGGGCUCGUCGUUGACGAUGACCGUGCCGGCGGCGCCAGCCCGGAGAGGGCCGGUGCCGUUGCUUCCUCCGGGGCAGAGAAGGAUCUUCCCGCUGUAUAACUGUCCGGCAAGGGACUCCGGUUGACAAGAGCUGCAGCACAGGGUUGCUGAAAUUUGUGAAAUGAUGAACUACACAUCAAUGCAAAAAUCAGUUUAUUUUUACA